CUAUGCAGUCAAAAUUUUGUCAAAACAUUUCUUUUUAUUCCUAAAAGAAAAAAAACCCAGCAAACGGUACUAUCUCUUUCCCACCCAAACAGGCAUUAAUUAUCUCCCUAAGGCCAGAUCCAAAUCAAAGAUUUGAUGACCAUGAAGGCAACUGGUCACUGCUGCAGCUUCUCCUGAAUUUUGUGAUACAGACUGGGAUUUAUAUCUACAGAAGAGAGCCGGAAAAAGAGGUGGAAGAUAGAUCAGCAUCAAAUUUGUGUUUGUUAUUCCUGGCAGACUGCAGGGGGCUCUGGGGAUCAGUGCCUGAGGGCUGCAUCCCUUGUUCUGUGUUUGGAGACAUAAGAUUGAAGCCACUACCUAAUAUAAGCAGAUGUGAGCCAGCUGCCAGUUCUCCAGGAGUCAUCUCAGAAAAGAGCCAGGCACAUGUCUCGAUGACAGAGAGGAAACACUUGUGCCAGCCAGAGACGCUGAAGGCCACCUGGGGCCGUCUCCCCACCCUCAUUCAGAGGCACACUUUUGUGGGAUUACCAGAGUUUGGGAAAUGUGUCUUUCU